rnacentral:misc_RNA from 1 species
CAACCCUCAGGACCCCUCGGGGGACUGGUGUUGGGGAUCGGCCCGCCCUGGCGCGGCGCCGUCCCCGAAAUACAGUGGCGGUCUCGCUGCAGCCUCCCCUGCGUAGUAGCACACCUCGCAUCGGAGAGCGGCGCGGCCACGCCGUGAAACCCCAACUUCUGAU